UGCAUGUGCACAGGGCCUGUGUCAGGUAC
rnacentral:piRNA from 1 species